UGCUAAUGGGGGUCGCUGGUCCAGUUUUG
rnacentral:piRNA from 1 species